AGAUUGAACGCUGGCGGCAUGCCUAACACAUGCAAGUCGAACGGGAGUAGCAAUACUCUAGUGGCGGACGGGUGAGGAAUACGUAGGAAUUUGCCCUUAAGUGGGGGAUAACCCGGGGAAACCCGGAUUAAUACCGCAUGACCUCGAAAGAGCAAAGUGGGGGAUCGCAAGACCUCACGCUUUUGGAGAAGCCUACGUCGGAUUAGCUAGUUGGUGAGGUAAUGGCUCACCAAGGCGACGAUCCGUAACUGGUCUGAGAGGAUGAUCAGUCACACCGGAACUGAGACACGGUCCGGACUCCUACGGGAGGCAGCAGUGGGGAAUAUGGACAAUGGGCGCAAGCCUGAUCCAGCAAUGCCGCGUGUGUGAAGAAGGCCUUCGGUUGUAAAGCUACUUUAAGGUUAGGGAAGAAAAACUCGACGUACUAACACAGUGAGUCUUGAACGGUACCGA
rnacentral:rRNA from 1 species